rnacentral:rRNA from 1 species
GUGGGGAAUUUUGGACAAUGGGCGAAAGCCUGAUCCAGCCAUGCCGCGUGCAGGAUGAAGGCCUUCGGGUUGUAAACUGCUUUUGUACGGAACGAAAAGACUCCUUCUAAUAAAGGGGGUCCAUGACGGUACCGUAAGAAUAAGCACCGGCUAACUACGUGCCAGCAGCCGCGGUAAUACGUAGGGUGCAGGCGUUAAUCGGAAUUACUGGGCGUAAAGCGUGCGCAGGCGGUUAUAUAAGACAGAUGUGAAAUCCCCGGGCUCAACCUGGGAACUGCAUUUGUGACUGUAUAGCUAGAGUACGGUAGAGGGGGAUGGAAUUCCGCGUGUAGCAGUGAAAUGCGUAGAUAUGCGGAGGAACACCGAUGGCGAAGGCAAUCCCCUGGACCUGUACUGACGCUCAUGCACGAAAGCGUGGGGAGCAAACAGGAUUAGAUACCCGAGUAGUCC